rnacentral:rRNA from 1 species
AUUGAACGCUGGCGGCAGGCCUAACACAUGCAAGUCGAACGAGUGGCGGACGGGUGAGUAAUGUCUGGGAACCUGCCCGAUGGAGGGGGGUAACUACUGGAAACGGUAGCUAAUACCGCAUUACAUCCGAUGUGCCCAGAUGGGAUUAGCUUGUAGGUGGGGUAACGGCUAACCUAGGCGACGAUCCCUAGCUGGGCUGAGAGGAUGACCAGACACACUGGAACUGAGACACGGUCCAGACUCCUACGGGAGGCAGCAGGGGGGAAUAUUGGACAAUGGGCGAAAGCCUGAUGCAGCCAGGCCGCGUGUAUGAAGAAGGCCUUCGGGUUGUAAAGUACUUUCAGCGGGGAAGCGUUACCCGCAGAGGAAGCACCGGCUAACUCCGUGCCAGCAGCCGCGGUAAUAC